rnacentral:rRNA from 1 species
GGGUUGUGAGGUUAAGCGACUAAGCGUACACGGUGGAUGCCCUGGCAGUCAGAGGCGAUGAAGGACGUGCUAAUCUGCGAUAAGCGCCGGUAAGGUGAUAUGAACCGUUAUAACCGGCGAUUUCCGAAUGGGGAAACCCAGUGUGACUCGUCACACUAUCAUUAACUGAAUCCAUAGGUUAAUGAGGCGAACCGGGGGAACUGAAACAUCUAAGUACCCCGAGGAAAAGAAAUCAACCGAGAUUCCCCCAGUAGCGGCGAGCGAACGGGGAGGAGCCCAGAGCCUGAAUCAGCAUGUGUGUUAGUGGAAGCGUCUGGAAAGGCGCGCGAUACAGGGUGACAGCCCCGUACACAAAAGCGCAUGUGCUGUGAGCUCGAUGAGUAGGGCGGGACACGUGGUAUCCUGUCUGAAUAUGGGGGGACCAUCCUCCAAGGCUAAAUACUCCUGACUGACCGAUAGUGAACCAGUACCGUGAGGGAAAGGCGAAAAGAACCCCGGCGAGGGGAGUGAAAAAGAACCUGAAACCGUGUACGUACAAGCAGUGGGAGCACAGGUUUACC